GUAAAGCACGAGAACUUGGCAGCUCUGGUGGGAUAUUGCGAAGAAACUACAGGGAGUGGAGGAGAGAGAAUAUUGGUUUAUGAAUAUGUACCAAAUGGAUCACUUCUACAUUACAUAAUUGGCCAUGAAGGAAGAAGCUUGAGUUGGAGACAACGAGUUAACAUAGCUAUUGGAGCUGCCAAAGGUAU